AUUGAACGCUGGCGGCAUGCUUUACACAUGCAAGUCGAACGGUAACAGGUCUUCGGAUGCUGACGAGUGGCGAGCGGGUGAGUAAUACAUCGGAACGUGCCUAGUAGUGGGGGAUAACUACUCGAAAGAGUAGCUAAUACCGCAUGAGAUCUACGGAUGAAAGCAGGGGACCUUCGGGCCUUGUGCUACUAGAGCGGCUGAUGGCAGAUUAGGUAGUUGGUGGGGUAAAGGCUUACCAAGCCUGCGAUCUGUAGCUGGUCUGAGAGGACGACCAGCCACACUGGAACUGAGCCACGGCCCAGACUCCUACGGGAGGCAGCAGUGGGGAAUUUUGGACAAUGGGCGAAAGCCUGAUCCAGCAAUGCCGCGUGCAGGAUGAAGGCCCUCGGGUUGUAAACUGCUUUUGUACGGAACGAAAAGCCUGGGGCUAAUAUCCCCGGGUCAUGACGGUACCGUAAGAAUAAGCACCGGCUAACUACGUGCCAGCCGCCGCGGUAACAC
rnacentral:rRNA from 1 species